rnacentral:rRNA from 1 species
UACGAAGGGGGCUAGCGUUGCUCGGAUUGACUGGGCGUAAAGGGCGCGUAGGCGGUUUGUACAGUCAGACGUGAAAUUCCUGGGCUCAACCUGGGGGCUGCGUUUGAUACGUGCAGACUUGAGUUCGGAAAAGGGUCGUGGAAUUCCCAGUGUAGAGGUGAAAUUCGUAGAUAUUGGGAAGAACACCGGUGGCGAAGGCGGCGACCUGGUCCGAUACUGACGCUGAGGCGCGAAAGCGUGGGGAGCGAACAGG